rnacentral:lncRNA from 1 species
UUUUUUUUCUGUGUCUUCAUGUGCCAGAGCACAGAAGGGGAAGAGAGAAUGAGUAUUCUGUCCUCCUGUGGCAGAGAGAGGAAGAGCAACCCAGUCCAAGGUUGCCUGAGGCCUCGUUCCCAAAGUCUUUAACCUCACCAACAAAAAAGGAGACUGAAGUCCUAACAUCUUCCUAAAGAUCUCCCCCAUUCGAUGCUGUCAGACUGGUAACACCUGCAUUUCAGAGGAGCUGCUAAACAGCUGAGCACCAGAGGCCUGACUUACUUGAAAUUUCAGCGGAAAAAAGCAAUGGAAUCUUGAAAUUUGCAGGAACAUGGAUGGAACUAGAAGAAACCAUUCUGAGCAAGGUAACCCAAUCACAAGAAGACAAACCUGGGUAUCCCCAAAGGGUACCAUGCUGGAACCUGGUCUCCAGGGUGACAGCACGAAGAGCUGAGACCCAGGCCUGAUGGAAGACUGCCUGGUCUCUGGUCUCUGUAGUUCCAUGGAACGAUGGCCAGUCCCAACGAGAGUGGAAUGCUGCCAGACAAUCCCCUUCUCAGUCCCUGGCUUCCUGCUUUGUCCCAUGGUCCCUUCAUCUGAUACAUGCUUCCAUCAUUAUGCCAUUUGCCAUGUUAUGUUGCAGAUGGGGGUUAGAGGGAGCUAUUAGAAGCUCAACAGAUGGAGCCAACUGAUUUCUAGCUCCA